CUUGAUGUAGCUCAGUGGUAAGGUAUGUGUUUGGCACAAACGAGGUCCUGAGUUCAAUCCUCAGCACCAAAA
rnacentral:tRNA from 1 species